UUGUGUGUAUGUAGAUAAAAGAAAAAAGAAAAGUACCCAAAUAUUUAUUACAGUCAAGUUUUGAAACAGGUGUGUUUUCAUUACUGACUAACUCCAACGUCGAGUUUCUCCACGCGUGACUAUGUUUUAUAACGCGCAACAAUGUCAUGACUUCGGCUAUGUAAGCAUUGUAGCUUUUGGAGACAUGUUCUUUUUCCACUCUUUUAAUUUUCUUUUAAAACAAUAAGAGUGGUAUCCAAUCUUUUGCGCGCACUUUCUAACUAUUCCUCAACUAACUACUUGAGUACUUGCCACCUCCCACCGUCAUAGUAGCUCAGACUCAAGAGGAUAGCAACAAAUCAUCUAAUCAUUUGACACCACAACCCUGCAUUAAACAUUUUGCGGUUUCUUCACAAAAUCAGAGAGUGCAGGCCGCUGAUCAAAUUUCCUCACUAUUGAUUUAUCAGUUAACAAGUCUAAACAAUACAGUUAUGUUAGAUAAAAAUAAAUCAGCCUUCAAGCUUUUGACAUAUAAAAAGGACAUGUGAAGGAAAUUAUGCAGUACAUCAUAUGUUUUGGAAGCAUUUGAUAACUAUUACUACAAGUUCUAAUCAAAGAAUCUAAAAAGAUUAUCCCUGACGAAGAACCAACAGCAACAGAAGCCUCUGAAAUCAUAUUGGUAGAAAAGACUGGUAAAAUGAUAGAUAGCUGAAAAUGAUAGAAGUAGUUAGCUUCACAAGGGACACGACAAACAUCAUAUUUCAACUACUAGUAUAAUAAAAAGCCCCAAUGGUGUUGCUUCGCGAGCAUAUUCUUCCUACCAUCUUAUGCUUUUUCAAUAACAUAGCAAUACGCUUAAUUGCAUAACAAAACCUGAACCAUGAAAUACAGCACCCAAUCAUGAUUAUACAACAUUAAGAAGAAGCCAUGGCAUCUUUCUGGUUCUUUAAGCAUAAACUUUCAAAAGUUUCACUAGUAAACUAAGGGCUCAAAGAACAAAGGGCAGAUAAGAUUGAUCUGCCAUGAUAAAGUUAUGGAAAGUAUAAAAUGUAAUAUGUAGAUCUCUUGGAGAUCAAUAAUGAACUCGAUCGACAAAGCAAAUAAUAAAUCCUUAUAAAGUUCCAAGCCACAAGUUAACUCACCUGAAGCUGCGGAGAUAUCCAACCCCAAAUCAGCGCAACAUGGUUAUGCAUGUAAACUUUAAUUUCUAUUUUGCAUGUCAACUUUAAUUUCUAUUUAAUAGAUUCCUUCGAUGUGAUCCAACAUCAUCAUCAGGAACACAUCUUAAAAUUUCAUGAAGUUCAAAAACAUUGCUGCAUCUUUUUUGGAAGCAGUUACACCAGAAUGAAAGUAUGGCUGCUAGUCUCAUAUGAAAUUUUUUCCUUCUACACGCCACGGUUGAAAAAACCCAAAAAGAUAAAAUGAUCUCCUUAUGAAUAUAAGAAACUAUUACAAUUUCAUUUCAGAUGUCAAGCUACAAACACCAGGUAUGCCCAAAGACCUGCUACUACUGCCAACAGUUCAAUUAACUGAUCUUGAUAUAGAAAAGGUCUGAAGCAUAAUAGCAUAACAUAUGAAGUACCCUUCUUGCUUCCUUAGUAAAAUCCAGGAACAUUGACGUGAGGAUGUAAACACCAACCCAGUGCCUAAGAUCUAAUUUUCAAAUUCUGUUCUGGAUAUUACAAGGACUCAAUGUUUUGAUCUUUUAUCUUCUAAACUGAAAUUUCUAAAAGUCUACCCAUAUUUCUAGGAUAAGUCCAACAAACUAUCUUAUUAUGUCUUAGUUCGCUCUGCUCAUUAUAGGGCAUAUAUUGAUUCCUUGAGGAUCCCAAUUGUUCCUUAAUUUUUCAUUAUCAAAAUUGCAGCAUUAAAGUUAUCGCUUUUCUAAUUCAGUGUAGUUAUGAUCAAGUAUAAGAUUUAUCUAAGAUAAUAUAAUUUCAAACUGUGGUGAAUGGAUAUUAAAUGAUCAUUAGGAGUACAACAUGAAACUGGGUGCAUAAAGAAGAGUCUAUCAUAAACUCUAUGAAAUUUUUUAAAUGAUUCAAAUGAGCAAUGCCGCUUGCUCAUCCGCAAAAGAGGCAGACAAAAAUACUAUAGUAUCUUUUCAGGGAUAACAAGAUAGCUAAGACGCAGUAAGUACUGAACAGAAGUUACACUCUCUGAAACUAAAACCUAAAGAUCUCAAAGCUGGAUAUUGUUUCCCGUUACCAGAAGAUCUGAACACUCCAUGAACUAUAAGAUGAAUGAUGACCGUACAUAUCCAAACUAUCAGCUAGAAAAUGAUAUACAGAAUCCUGAUCAUUGAUUUGAUGAGCGCAUAUUGCGCAGAAGAUCUCCUUAUUCACUUUCUUAAAUAUGAGGAGAGCAAAUAAAGGAUCAGAGAAAGAAAAUCACGUCGAUGCCAACCAAAUUCAAAUAAUACAGUGGAUGAAGUGUAUCUAUUUUAUUAAACCACGAUAUUUUCCAAAGCUUAUACGGAUCGAAGCAAAUAUGGCAUCAACUAAGCCAGUAAUCACGACCUAAGUUGCUCGGACACGGCAAUUUGGCCGUACCCGUGUCGACAUGACACUGACACGGGUAAGGGUGUGGGAUCUGUGUCGGAUAUGGUCAGACAAGAUCGGGUGCGUUGACCAAAAUUUUUCCCAAUUGAUUUCACUAAGUAAAGAUUUGAAAAGAUGGAAAACGAAAUACCUUCAAUUUCGCUGAUAUUCUCCUUCUUAUAUUAGUCCUUUUGUCUCCUUUGAAGCUUUUUGUCUUGGUCAAUCUUCUUGUUCAUGCUGCAGGUUUUUGAAAUCAAGAGCUCAUGUUUUUUUUUUUGGCAGAGAAGCAAAAGAUGGGUGGUGGACUACUGGACUGAGGCAUAAUGGGUUUUGUACUAAAAAAACAAAGAGAUGGAAAAACUUUUGUUGGGGAAGAAGACUCAGAGAUGGAAAGAAGAAGAGGCGAGUACAGAGAACGGAUGAAGAAUGAGACAAAUUAGGAAUUGACCACUUUUUAAUUGACAACUAAUAUUU
rnacentral:lncRNA from 1 species